rfam:Rhizobium sp. YS-1r CONTIG.276, whole genome shotgun sequence.
CCGUAGUUUCGUGGUGAUUUGGCCGGCCGGCUUGCAGCCACGUAAAAAAAGUCGCUAAAGGGCCGCGAGAAGAUGACU